GGGACACGUGGUAUCCUGUCUGAAUAUGGGGGGACCAUCCUCCAAGGCUAAAUACUCCUGACUGACCGAUAGUGAACCAGUACCGUGAGGGAAAGGCGAAAAGAACCCCGGCGAGGGGAGUGAAAAAGAACCUGAAACCGUGUACGUACAAGCAGUGGGAGCACGCUUAGGCGUGUGACUGCGUACCUUUUGUAUAAUGGGUCAGCGACUUAUAUUCUGUAGCAAGGUUAACCGAAUAGGGGAGCCGAAGGGAAACCGAGUCUUAACUGGGCGUUAAGUUGCAGGGUAUAGACCCGAAACCCGGUGAUCUAGCCAUGGGCAGGUUGAAGGUUGGGUAACACUAACUGGAGGACCGAACCGACUAAUGUUGAAAAAUUAGCGGAUGACUUGUGGCUGGGGGUGAAAGGCCAAUCAAACCGGGAGAUAGCUGGUUCUCCCCGAAAGCUAUUUAGGUAGCGCCUCGUGAAUUCAUCUCCGGGGGUAGAGCACUGUUUCGGCAAGGGGGUCAUCCCGACUUACCAACCCGAUGCAAACUGCGAAUACCGGAGAAUGUUAUCACGGGAGACACACGGCGGGUGCUAACGUCCGUCGUGAAGAGGGAAACAACCCAGACCGCCAGCUAAGGUCCCAAAGUCAUGGUUAAGUGGGAAACGAUGUGGGAAGGCCCAGACAGCCAGGAUGUUGGCUUAGAAGCAGCCAUCAUUUAAAGAAAGCGUAAUAGCUCACUGGUCGAGUCGGCCUGCGCGGAAGAUGUAACGGGGCUAAACCAUGCACCGAAGCUGCGGCAGCGACGCUUAUGCGUUGUUGGGUAGGGGAGCGUUCUGUAAGCCUGCGAAGGUGUGCUGUGAGGCAUGCUGGAGGUAUCAGAAGUGCGAAUGCUGACAUAAGUAACGAUAAAGCGGGUGAAAAGCCCGCUCGCCGGAAGACCAAGGGUUCCUGUCCAACGUUAAUCGGGGCAGGGUGAGUCGACCCCUAAGGCGAGGCCGAAAGGCGUAGUCGAUGGGAAACAGGUUAAUAUUCCUGUACUUGGUGUUACUGCGAAGGGGGGACGGAGAAGGCUAUGUUGGCCGGGCGACGGUUGUCCCGGUUUAAGCGUGUAGGCUGGUUUUCCAGGCAAAUCCGGAAAACUAAGGCUGAGGCGUGAUGACGAGGCACUACGGUGCUGAAGCAACAAAUGCCCUGCUUCCAGGAAAAGCCUCUAAGCAUCAGGUAACAUCAAAUCGUACCCCAAACCGACACAGGUGGUCAGGUAGAGAAUACCAAGGCGCUUGAG
rnacentral:rRNA from 1 species